rnacentral:rRNA from 1 species
AUGACUUGGGUUUGCUGCAGUACUUGUGAGCAUAGUUGCUUAAUGCUCUAUUUAGUACUCCCUCCGUCCCAAAAUAUAAGAUCAUUUUUUUAUACUAAGAUAGUGUCAAAAAUGAUCUUAUAUUUUUGGAUGGAGUACCAUAUUAUUACUUGUAAUGUAGUUGGAAGUUUUGUGUUGUUGAAAUCUUUGAAAUACGCUGAAUACUCUUGGGUCAUCUCCGAAACAAGACCAAUUUUUCAUGUGUAUGUUUGUUACUACCUGCAAACCAAUUUUGGCCAUCCUUUUUAUCUUGCACGAAAAUUGGUUAUAUCACGUCUGUAUAUCAAAAUUUUGUAA